CACACCGCCCGUCACACCAUGAGAGUUGGAGAUACCCGAAGCCUAUGAGCUAACUUUUAGAGGCAGUAGUCGAAGGUAGAAUCAAUGAUUGGGGUGAAGUCGUAACAAGGUACC
rnacentral:rRNA from 1 species